rnacentral:lncRNA from 1 species
CUCUGUUUCAUAAUAGGAAGAUUUGGACUACAUUUCCUUAUCUCAGAAGUCUCACAAGUAGAGUUUGAGAAGAAGAAACAAUCUUCCAAUUAAAACUCAGACAACAGUUCAUGGAUACAUGUGAUCUUUGCCUAAAGACAGCCUAGUGAUUGUAGCCCCAAGAAACCUUAAGUUAAUAAACCAAAGUCAUAUAUCUGAGGUUACACAGCAAGAAGUGUUCAAGCCAUAAUUUGAACCCAGGUCUCUUCUGAGUCCAAAUCUAGUCCCUUCUGACUGAGAUUUGACAAUGAUGAAAGAAGAAAAAGUCAUCUGAUACAGAGAUAGGCUGCAAAGAUCUGGUACCAGUUUUAUGAUUCAUGGGAUCCUUAAGCUAAUCUCAGAGAGAUCAGAGCAACCAAAUAGCUUAGACUCAAAGAAUGUAAACUACUUCAAAGAAGCAUCUAUUGGAAAUCAAAAGGUGGAUUGUACUUGAGGGGCUUUUUUGGUGUAAAUGUACCUGGAUGACCUUUGGUGGCAAGAUGAACCCUUGGGCAGUUGGAGGUAAGAUCCAUUGUUAGUUUUUUCUACUUAACAUGGAAGUGCUGGCCUUGUGAGAAUUUUAAAAUAUGGAGGAGGCUGUAAUGGCAGUUAACCAUCUUCCUUUCUUUCAAAUAUUGGCUCUGACACUUACCAGGUGUGUAAUCCCCAUUGUCAACUUGUGUGACUCUUUGGCAAUAUAGGCAGGGCAUCACAGUCUCACAAGCUGAAGGUCCUGAGUUUGAUCCUUGGAAGGAGGGUGUGAUAUACUGGGAAAAGGCUUCUGGAGGGUCACUGGACUUCAGAUUGGGCUUAGCUCCCACCUGAAGUGGAUUGUCAUUCCCCUGAAGGUCUCCCACUCAGUCUGAAACUGCCAGCCUGGGAUUCCCUGCAGGGUAGAUUCCCAUGGGAAAAGGGAACAAGGACAAGCUUUGGGGUCUCCAACCUAUAAGCUAGUCCGGAAACUUGGGGUUCACCAGAUCCCACUAGGCCACAA